rnacentral:rRNA from 1 species
CUGCUGCCUUCCGUAGGAGUCUGGGCCGUGUCUCAGUCCCAGUGUGGGGGGCCUUCCUCUCAGAACCCCUACGCAUCGUCGCCACGGUGGGCCGUCACCCCGCCGUCUAGCUAAUGCGCCGCAUGCCCAUCCCGCCACCGGAUCGCUCCUUUGGCCCGACCCGGAGGAUGCCCUCCCGGUGGCGUCACGGGGUAUUAGGCCGGCGUUUCCGCGGGUUAUCCCCCUGUGGGCGGCCAGGUUGCAUACGUGUUACUCACCCGUGCGCCGGUCGCCGG